rnacentral:rRNA from 1 species
AGCAGCCGCGGUAAUUCCAGCUCCAAUAGCGUAUAUUAAAGUUGUUGCAGUUAAAAGCUCGUAGUUGGAUUUCGGGAUCAAUAUGUUGGUCGUGCCUCGGUACGUACUAGCUUAUUGGUUUCUCCUUUCUGAAGAACCAUGAUGUCAUUUAUUUGGUGUCGUGGGGAAUCAGGACUGUUACUUUGAAAAAUUAGAGUGUUUAAAGCAGGCUCACGCUUGAAUACAUUAGCAUGGAAUAAUGAAAUAGGACGUUUGAUUCUAUUUUGUGGUUCUAGGAUCGACGUAAUGAUUAAUAGGGAUAGUUGGGGCAUUAGUAUUCAAUUGUCAGAGGUUGAAAUUCUUGGGAUUUUAUUGAAGACUAACUACUGCGAAAGCAUUUUGCC